rnacentral:lncRNA from 1 species
CGCCGCCGCGCUCGCCUUGCAGGAGCGGGUGCAGAUGGAGCCAGGCUGACGGUUGUUCAACAGGAACAAAUGUUUGUUCAAUUGUUGGAUGGUGGAGAAAAGGGACUGUUUCCUAUUGACUGCUGCAGGAGUUGGAAUGGCAUUGUUUAUUGGCCUGGGAAGCCAGGCAAGCGUCUUGUGCUGCUUACAACAUAUUAGCAG